rnacentral:RNase_P_RNA from 1 species
CGAACCGGGCGAGGUGGUCGCGCGCGCGCCACACCGGCACGCACGAGGAAAGUCCGAGUUCCGCAGGGCAGGGUGCCGGCUAACGGCCGGUGGGGGCGACCCCGAGGAGAGUGCAACAGAGAACAGACCGCCGGCGAUACCGCCGGCAAGGGUGAAACGGCGAGGUAAGAGCUCACCGGACCGCUGGUGACAGCGGUCGCGAGGCAAACCCCACCCGGAACAAGACCAAAUAGGGGAGCGCUCGCGAGCCUCGGCUCGCGUACGAGUGGCCCGCUCGAGCUCCCGGGUACGGUCGCUGGAGGCACGCGGCAACGCGUGCCCGAGAGGAAUGACCACCAGCCCUGGUCGGGGCGACCCGCCAGGGCGACAGAACUCGGCUUACGGCUCGAUUCGACCG